CCCGAAAGAUCGAAUGGGGAGAUUCAACGUCAGCGGGGCUGUGUUCCUUGCGGUUCGCGAUGUUUGAGACGGUACUUUACGGUAUUUGUUGAUAUCACGCAUCCGCUUGGUAUUCCGGUUACGCCGGCGUGCACUUCUCCCCUAGUAGAACGUCGCGACCCGCUGGGUGUCGGUUUAAGGACCGAGAUCGUCGACUGUUUCGUCGCUUCGGCGUGCGUUAACAGACGCUUGGAUUCCCGACCGGCUGCUCGGCGGUACGCUCAUGGUAUCGAGCCGCACUUGAAUGCGUUCAGACUCGUUGCAAGCCCGACCAUUUGUUUAUCCUGGAGUGCGGACCUGGUGCCGUCCCCGGGGGUGGUUAGCUGUUGGUUGACGAUGUUCUCGAACCGGCUUAAAUUGAACGAACAACGAUACCGGUCGGCGACGCUAUUGCUUUGGGUACUUUCAGGACCCGUCUUGAAACACGGACCAAGGAGUCUAACAUGUGCGCGAGUCAUUGGGAUAUUGAAACCUAAAGGCGUAUUGAAAGAGAAGAUCGUCCUUGCGUCGAUCGAGGGAGGAUGGGUAACGUUUAGGUGUUGCCCCGCACUCCCGGGGCGUCUCGUUGUCAUUGCGACUUGAGGCGCACCCAGAGCGUACACGUUGGGACCCGAAAGAUGGUGAACUAUGCCUGGUCAGGACGAAGUCAGGGGAAACCCUGAUGGAGGUCCGUAGCGAUUCUGACGUGCAAAUCGAUCGUCGGAACUGGGUAUAG
rnacentral:rRNA from 1 species